CAAGGAGUAGUUCGAAUUGAGAAUACUAGCUUUGGGAGUUAGCGGCGGGGGUUCGAGUCCCCUCUCUUUGA
rnacentral:tRNA from 1 species